rnacentral:rRNA from 1 species
CCUACGGGUGGCAGCAGUGGGGAAUAUUGCACAAUGGGGGAAACCCUGAUGCAGCGACGCCGCGUGAGUGAAGAAGGAUUUCGGUAUGUAAAGCUCUAUCAGCAGGGAAGAAAAAGCGACCUUUGGGUCGCCAGACGGUACCUGAUUAAGAAGCCCCGGCUAACUACGUGCCAGCAGCCGCGGUAAUACGUAGGGGGCAAGCGUUAGCCGGAUUUACUGGGUGUAAAGGGAGCGUAGACGGCAGCGCAAGUCUGAAGUGAAAUGCCGGGGCUUAACCCCGGAACUGCUUUGGAAACUGUGCAGCUAGAGUGCAGGAGAGGUAAGUGGAAUUCCUAGUGUAGCGGUGAAAUGCGUAGAUAUUAGGAAGAACACCAGUGGCGAAGGCGGCUUUCUGGACUGAAACUGACGCUGAGGCUCGAAAGCGUGGGGAGCGAACAGGAUUAGAUACCCGAGUAGUC